GGCGGGGAGAAGUUACGGCUCUAACGCCCCGUGUUUUAUACUCUGGGCCCAACGAGUUCAGAAUGGGCAUUUUCCACAUGAGGGCUGCUGCUUCUGCCUGGGUCCUUGAGUGAGAAGACCUGCCCAUGGCCUACUUAUGUGAGUCUCUUGCACAGUCUAGAUAUUUGCUACUCAAGAUGUGGCUCAUGACCAGCAGUACUGGCAUCACCUGGAGCCUGUAAGAAAUGCAGAAUGUCAGCCCCACGCCAGACCUAUGGAAUUAGGAUCCAUAGUUCAACAAGAUCCUCAGGUGUUUAUUCUUUUAUGUUUCAAAAUGUGCCUCCCUUGACCCGUUAUUUCAGGAUUUGGUAAACUCCUCCUGGGCAGGACCUGACUCUAGAAGAGCUUUUCAAUCCCCACCAGCGCCGCCCCCUCUGGUGCCCAUGUCAAGGGCUAGAGCAGAAGGUCAGGCGCAGUGAUUAACCAGCCACAGUUGAAAGCCCAGAAGAUACAACGAUCGACAUCCUGCAUCCUGCAUCUGAGGACUUUGCUCCAGACUAAGGUGUAAUCCAACCAUUUCCUUUUCAUAAGACAAGUAUUGUCUGAAGGGAUCUGUGUGUAAUUUUGAAGGGAAGGGCAAACGGAGCUGCAGAACUCAGUUACCACUUUGCCUUGGAUCUGAGCCUGUGAAAGGGGAAAAGAAGUGAACUCUUCCCUGAGAUGACUGAACAAUCACAGAGAAAGAGCUUUAAGAUUCAUAGUAGAAAGAGGCUGAUUGGAACCUUCCUUAGAGCAACUCCACUAUUCUGGUUUUACCCUAUUCCCACUCCUUGUCAUUCCCACCUGUAAUUCUGACUUGGCAGGAACCCCACACUGAAUGUUCUCAAAGUACUUUGUAGACUUUAAUUAGUUCUGUGGGAAGUAAGGCAAAACUCAGCCU